GUAGAGUAGAAGCGGCUGGAGAAAGCUAAGAUUUGAGUCUACAAGCUUCCUCACUGAGAGGUACACACAUUCCAGUAUUUGUGGUGAAAGCAGAUGUGGACUUUUCCUCAUGAGAAUAUUGAAGAAAACUGGAAAGUGGUCACAGCAACUAGGAGAGAGAGCCAAACAGCACACAGUAUGAAUGAGGAUUUUGCAAUCACCAGUGGAGGAAUAAAGGUUUCUGAACUCAUCGCUUGGAUAAUUAUCUUUUGCUUCUGGCCCCAUUACUUUGUUCUUUCCACACCGUGUUGGACACAAAGUAUACCAGAGUGAGCAUGAUACCAGAACACAGGGAAUGUGUAGAGUGAUCAAUAGACUUGAAGGCUUAUUGCACCUAUUAAUUUUGAAAGGGAGAUACUAGCUCCCUGCUGGGCCUCAUGACAUGAGUGGAAGACUUCUGGUCAUCACAAGAUCUGGGGUUGCUAUCUAUGCUCAGAAGUCAGAAGUGAUAAAUGCUUUUCUCUGAAUGUGAUGUUUGUAUUUAAAUGCCAAAAUACUCAGGUGAAAUCAAUGCAAUGAGCAACACAACAGAAGAAUCAUGAGGGUUACUUGGUGAGGCUAUGAAAAAACAGGAAUAGUGGGGUUCAGAAGCUAUACUCAUAGGCAGUCUGGAAGCAUUUAUGUGCAUUUGAAAUAUAAAAUCAUAAUAUUAUAUAAAGUUAUAAUCAUAUGUGCCUAAUUUGAAAUUAUGUGAUAUCUCCCAAGUCUUCAAAAUACAUCAAGGAUCACAAAACUUUCAAGCUUACAAUUUAGGUAAGUUAGAUACUGUACUUUUGUUAAAAGGAAGUGCCACUUAUGUGUCAAAUAGAAAUACUAACAUUCGUGGUUGGUGUUACUUGAAUCUCACAGCUAUUUACCUGUAUUGAAACUUCUGCAGAUGCUUUGGCGUUUCAAGCUUUGUGCUUACACUGUUAUUAUAAUUUAAAAUCUUCUUAAAUAUUCUCUAACACUGUUAUGUAAAAGCUAGAGAUAAUGCACUAAAAUGCACUAAGAAAUCAAUAACCUGGAAAGGAAGUUAAAUAGUAUAAAAUGCCGCAAAAAAGACCAAAUGACCAUUAUAAUAUGUCAUACAUUUAUUUAAGAGUUAGUAACGUGAGAAAUAUUAGUAAUAAUUUUGAGGAAAUGGAAAAGCAUUAUUAAAGAAAUGAUACCUUUAAUUUUGCAAAAAUAAUCAUAUAACUGGACAAGGAUGAUGAUAAGAUGCUGACUGCAAUAUCAAUGCUACCGACAUGUGAUUCUAACUCAAGAUACCAUCUGUACUAAGGCAUAAAGUAUUCUUGAUGAUUUCAAAGGAGAUAAUAUAUUAAAUAUACAUAUUUUUGCAAGAAUUUCUUGUACUUAGAAAGUAUGAAAAUCUAUGUUACAAUGUUUAUAAAUGCAUGUGCUCUGAAAAACAACCAACCUUUUUAAAUUUAGU